CUAGAGCUCUGAGGAGAAAGACGAGACAAAAGGAAGAAGGAGAGUGGGUGAUUUGUCCAUUCCACAUUGGGAAUGAGGAUAGCUUUAUUCACUGAACCUCCAGGAUGCCCCUGAUACCUCAAUCAUAAUGAGAAAGGUGGAUGCAGACAGUGUGCAGUGGUGUAUAAACAGUGACUUCAGCAACAUAGGGGGAGACAUUUUUAACAAACUCAAGUUAUGAUUUCUGGAAAAACUAUGGACCUUUAGAAGGGUGACAAGGGCAGCUCAGUCCAAGGUGGCCGGUUCAGAACCCGCAUGAACCAAAGCACGGAGUGUGGACUGGAGAGGUGCUCCUUUGAGCAGGGCACCGAACCCCCAGCUGCUUGGAGUGCCAACUAUGUGGCUCCGACACCUCUCAAUUAAUGCAUGUGCAUGUGUGUAUUGCAGGCCUCUGUGUGUAAUGUGUAACAACAGGGUGUAAAAAAUGGAAUUCCUCCACUGAGGGAUUAAUAAAGUGCUUUUUCUUCUAGUUGAGAUUGUUCCUUCAACUGCUCUUUCAACAAAAGAGUCAAGGAUGAACUGCAAAGCACAAAUAGAAUAUUUGUGGUUUGUUUUUCCACAACGGAUCUUUUGUCUCUGUUUCCAUCUCUGUGACUCACCCUUUGGUUCCUCAGCUCUACCUCCUGGCCAGCAGGCCUUGGCUAUUUCUGUGUGUUGUGACAUGACAGGCCCACGACAGUCUGGAGAAAGUAAUAAAUGUUGUAAAUGGUUAUGUGAGUUCCCAGCUACCAGGGGCUUAUCACUCUAUAAUAUGCCACUUAGAAAAAGGUGGCACAGCCUGAGAUAAACAGGUCACAUCAUCAAUAUCAGAUGCUAAAAUGCGCAUCUGAUAUCUGUUAAUCUUGAUCUGUGCCACCUUUUUGUAAGUCCCUUCUGAGAAUUAUUGCUCAAUGUGUUUAGUUUUAAAUCUUGUUAAGAGAUAGCAUAUCUACAACAUUCAGUAUACUUUGAGUUCAGCAAAUGACGCAACACUCAAGCUGACUUCAGUGUCAUUUUAGUGCUUAUGAUGCAGACCUAGGUAAGAUGGAUAUGAUUAAAACUGCUGAAAGAGUUGUGUGGUCUAUUGUUUGAGGUGACGAUGCAACUGGAAAUGUGUCAUCAUUAUCGACAUUAUUAACAUAAUUUAACAACUAUCUCAAAUAAGCACUGUACAAUGUGAACAUUUGUGAGUGUUGGUCUUACUGUUUCAGGUUUGAGUCAGCAUAUUCACCUCAGAGACCUCAUAUGCAAAUCAUGUCAAAAAAACACUCACUUUUGAUGCAAUAUGAAAUUAAUUUUAGAUCAAAACUAUAACAAUGCAUCACCACUGCAUUUCCUGUUUUACACUGCACUAUUAAUCUUAAUGACCUAUAAUAAAUGUGUUCCUAUUUUGA